rnacentral:rRNA from 1 species
CAAUAGCGUAUAUUAAAGUUGUUGCAGUUAGAAAGCUCGUAGUUGGACCUUGGACCUGGACAGGCGGUCCGCCUCACGGCGAGUACUGUCUUGCUGGGUCUUUCCUCUUGGUGAUCUGUUGUUUCGGCAGCAGGGAACCAGGACCUUUACUUUGAAAAAAUUAGAGUGUUCAAAGCAGGCUCGACGCCGGAAUAUAUUAGCAUGGAAUAAUAAAAUAGGACGUGCGGUUCUAUUUUGUUGGUUUUUGGAAUCGCCGUAAUGAUUAAUAGGGACAGUCGGGGGCAUUAGUACUCACAUGCUAGAGGUGAAAUUCUUGGAUUUUGUGAAGACUAACUUCUGCGAAAGCAUUUGCCAAGGAUGUUUUCAUUAA